GCCAAGAUAGCUCAGUCGGUAGAGCGGUACACUCGUAAUGUACAGGUCUGGAGUUCGAUUCUCCAUCUUGGCU
rnacentral:tRNA from 1 species